rnacentral:lncRNA from 1 species
AGUGGCUGAAAAUUGGGUGUUACAAAAGCUAAGAAUAGUUUGAACAUAGAACAAACUUCUGAUUUGUGUUGCGAGAAGUAAACCCACGUAUAUCUACUGUAGUCAUCGAUAAACGUCACAAAAUAUUUGUAUUGACCAUGAGAAAUGAUAGGACUAAUACCCCAAACAUCACUAUGAAUUAUUUCAAAUGCGUAAGUUGCUCUACUUCCUUCAGAAGGAAAAGGUAAAAUCUUACUUUUGCCCAGUCUGCAAGUUGUACACACAGGAAAAAUAGUGGAAGAAGAAUACUCUUUAUCAGAUAACAGACCAGAUUUCAAUAAAUAAGAUAGAAUCCUAGAAUUAGGAUGGCCAAGACGCUUAUGCCAAACUUCAUUUGACACUUUAGACUCAUUACAAAGUAAAGAUAGGACUAAGGAAGAUAAGCUACGUGGAACAGGUAAUUGCAGAGAAAAGAGACGUCCGUGCUUAGGCCCCUUCACUAUCACCUGCCCUGACAUCCGAUCCUGUACAAUACAACCAUCAUUAGUAAAAUGUACAUUAUAGUUUUGGUCCACAAGCUUGCCGACAGAUAUCAAAUUCACAGAGAGAUUUGGUGACACAAGAACAUCAUUAAAGUUAGAUGAUACAUCACCAACUGCCACAAUGGGUAGAGCAUUACCAUUGGCUGUUUGAAUAUGUGAUGAGCUAACAUACUUUCUGAUAUUACUUAAUCUAUGGAGAGUAUUAGUCAUAUGAUUUGAGGCGCCCGAGUCUAAGAUGCAAGAAAUAGAGGAAGAACCAUUACCUUGAAGACCAAAAGCUGAAAAAGCACUCACAAUCAUUUCAUGCACCGUCUCUCGAGUUAUAACAAGUUCUGGAGGUUGUAAACUAACAGCAGAUGUUGUAGCAUCCACAGUAGUAAAGGCUGGUUGUGAACCAGCAAAAGUAACAGCAACAUGAGAAGCCUUAUUGGAACGCGAAGGACGAACAUGACACUCUUUAAUAAUGUGCCCUGAUUGCUUGCAGUAGUUACACACUUUCUGAGGGUAGUGAGGAGCAAUAUGGUCAUACUUCUUACAACUAUAGCACUGUGUGGUGCUCAUAUCACGUCCCUUUCCCUUACUAUGAGCAACAUAGGCAACUGAGACAGGAUUAGAAGAAACACGUGCCUGCUCCAUAAUAUUUUGAGUAUUGAGACGUUGUUCCUCAUGCAAGAGUUCUCCAAAACAUGCCUCCAAAGUUGGAACAGGAUCUCUAUUUACUAGAGAGGCACGAACGGAUUCAAAAUCAGACCUUAAUUUCCUCAGAAAUUGGUCUCUUUGGCUGGUUUUGUGUAUGUGUUGUACUACCUCCAACCCUUCUGCAGAGACCUUGGCUGUAACAAGGUUUGAAUAAUCAUUCCACAAAGUCAGGAAACCAAAGUAAUAAUCUUGAAUAGAUAGGUCUCCUUAGGUAUAGUUAGUAAUAGCCAACUCAAGCUAGAAACGCCUAGCAUUGUUGUUUUGGUUAUAGACUUGCUUGAGAUAAUCCCACAUAGCCUUUGCAGACCUAUGGGGACGCAAAGCAAGAAUCGGAUAUGGUUCCAUAGAACUAAGAAUCCACAACAUGAUCUGGUUAUGUCAGCAGCAGUAGAACCUCCAUUGUUGCUCCCAUCUAUAUGACCCCAGAGCUAUUUUCUUUUGAGAAAUGUUUCCAGUUGAAACUCCCAGGCAGAAUAAUUUUUGCCAGUGAAUCUAACACAAACAUUAUUUGACUUCUCCAUAAUUCUUGAGGCUAUGACUGAAAAAAUAUAUAUUUCUUAGACUAUGGCUCUGAUACCAUAUCAAAAUGGUUUGAAUUGUCUUCUCUUCUGAGAAGGUCUUUCAUUUAUAUAGGUAAAAUUAACCACUAUACAAGGAAACUUAAACUAUAAAUGCUAAUUACGUAAAGUGAUUUUAGGGAGCUAUAUCUGGUAACUUACAUAUGGUAAGCCAAAUCUCUACUCCUAUUUACAGCCUAGAUUAAUGAGUCAAUUACAGAAUUUAUGCCCUUGAUAUGUUGCUUUCUAUUGAUGAGUCAAUCACAGAAUUUAUGCCCUUGAUAUGUUGCUUUCGAUUGAUGAGUCAAUCACAGAAUUUAUGCCCUGAUAUGUUGCUUUCUGUUGACAUUAAUAACCAUUCCCAAGAUCUUCUUAGCUUUCCCUAAAUCUUUCAUAUCAAUUUCUUAUAAUCUCAAUUUUGGCAGGACUGGUUAACAACAUAUCAUCCACAUAUAGAAGCAGAUAGACUUCACUUCGACUUCUAACAUUGUUAUAGUACAGACAUGGAUCAUAUUCACUUCUCUUAAACUCAAUCCUAAGCACAUAUGUGUCAAACCUUAUAUAUCACUGCCUUGGGCUUUGUUUAAGCCUAUAUAGUGAUUUUUGUAAUUUGCAGACAUAGUUAGUUUUACCUUUCACCUCAAAACCUUGAGGCUGACCCCUACACACAUAUAAGAAGACAGUCUUAACAUCUAAUUGUUCAAGUUUCUAGUCAAAUUGAACAACUAGUACAAGCAUCGACUUAAUAGUUUUGUACUUGAUUACUGGUAAAAACAUUUUAUUAUAACCAAUCCCCUUUGGCAACUAGC